GCAGAGGGCACGAGCCGGGGAAGGGCCGGAGAGGCAGGCUAUGGCCCCCAGUGCCCUGUAGACCUGGCGCGACUCCCGUGCUUUCGACCCCUAUUUGGGGCCCUGGGUGGCUUCUGGAGGGCCUUGCCGAGGGGCAGAGAAGGCAGGACCAUGGCAUCUAGGGCCUUUGAACCUCCCUCAGGGCGCAGCGUGACGGCGGGCAUCAUCAUUGUUGGAGAUGAGAUCCUCAAGGGACACACUCAGGACACCAACACCUACUUUCUGUGCCGGACACUGCGCUCCCUGGGGGUCCAGGUGUGCCGAGUCUCUGUCGUCCCCGAUGAGGUCGCCACCAUUGCGGCUGAGGUCACUUCUUUCUCCAGCCGCUUCACCCACGUCCUCACAGCAGGGGGCAUCGGCCCCACUCAUGACGAUGUGACCUUCGAGGCAGUAGCCCAGGCCUUUGGGGACGAGCUCAAGCCACACCCCGAGCUGGAAGCCGCCGUCAAAGCCCUAGGAGGGAAGGGCUGGGAGAAGCUGUCUCUCGUUCCCUCCUCCGCCCGCCUCCAUUACGGCACCGAUCCUCGCACCGGCCAGCCCUUCAAAUUGCCGCUGGUCUCCGUCCGAAAUGUCUACCUCUUCCCCGGCAUUCCAGAGCUGCUGCGGCGGGUGCUGGAGGGGCUGAAGGGGCUGUUCCAGAACACAGCCGUGCAGUUUCACCUGCGGGAGCUCUAUGUGGCGGCCGAUGAGGCCUCUAUUGCCCCCAUCCUUGCCGAGGCUCAGGCCCACUUUGGGCGCCGGCUCGGCCUGGGUUCCUAUCCUGACUGGGGCAGCAACUACUAUCAGGUGAAGCUGACGCUGGACUCAGAGGACGAAGGGCCCCUGGAGGAAGGCCUGGCCUACCUGACCGCCCGUCUGCCCCCGGGGUCGUUGGUCCCCUACGUGCCCGACGCCGUGCAGCAGGCCAGUGAGGCCGUGUACAAACUCGCGGGAUCAGGGUCUUCUCUGGGGGAGAAGGUGGCAGGCGCCCUGCAGACCAUUGAGACUGCCCUGGCCCGGUACGACCUCGCCCGCCUCUGCGUGGGCUUCAAUGGAGGCAAGGACUGCACGGCACUCCUGCACCUCUUCCACGCGGCCGUGCAGAGGACGCGCCCUGACGCUCAGGAGCCCCUCCAGGUCCUGUAUGUCCGCAGCAUCUCCCCCUUCCCCGAGCUGGAGCAGUUUCUACAGGACACCAUCAAGAGGUACAAUCUGCAGGUCCUGGAGGCUGAGGGUGACAUGAAGCAGGCCCUGAGUGAGCUGCAGACGCGGCACCCCCAGUUGGAGGCUGUCCUGAUGGGCACCCGCCGCACAGACCCCUACUCCUGCAGCCUCUGCCCCUUCAGCCCCACUGACCCCAGCUGGCCUUCCUUCAUGCGCAUCAACCCGCUGCUGAGAGCAAGCUGCACCAGAGAAUCAGAUAGGAGCCUUCCUCAGGGCCAAGAAGCAGAAGAGCCCAAGCGGGCCCCUUCCCAGGUGGCAAGGGGUGAGUGAGGAAGAGGGGGACUUUGUGACUCCGCUCUGACCUCCCAGGACUGGACCUACAGAGACAUCUGGGACUUCCUGCGCCAGCUGUUUGUCCCAUACUGUGUUCUGUACGACCGAGGCUACACCUCGCUGGGGGGCCGGGAGAACACGGUGCGGAACCCCGCCCUGAAGUACCUGAGCCCAGGAGGACAGCCCGCCUACCGUCCAGCCUACCUGCUGGAGAACGAAGACGAGGAGCGCAACUCCCGCACAUGAGCCCGCAGUCCUGCCCACUGCAGGGGUGGGGAAGGAGGUGGUCCUGGGGUGUCGCCUGUCAAUAAAGUGUGCC